CGAUUUAGGCCNUGCUAGUUGUGCGGGUUUAGACCCGCAGCGGAAAGCUCAGUAACACGUGGCCAAGCUACCCUGUGGACGGGAAUACUCUCGGGAAACUGAGGCUAAUCCCCGAUAACGCUUUGCUCCUGGAAGGGGCAAAGCCGGAAACGCUCCGGCGCCACAGGAUGCGGCUGCGGUCGAUUAGGUAGACGGUGGGGUAACGGCCCACCGUGCCCAUAAUCGGUACGGGUUGUGAGAGCAAGAGCCCGGAGACGGAAUCUGAGACAAGAUUCCGGGCCCUACGGGGCGCAGCAGGCGCGAAACCUUUACACUGUACGAAAGUGCGAUAAGGGGACUCCGAGUGUGAAGGCAUAGAGCCUUCACUUUUGUACACCGUAAGGUGGUGCACGAAUAAGGACUGGGCAAGACCGGUGCCAGCCGCCGCGGUAAUACCGGCAGUCCGAGUGAUGGCCGAUCUUAUUGGGCCUAAAGCGUCCGUAGCUGGCUGAACAAGUCCGUUGGGAAAUCUGUCCGCUUAACGGGCAGGCGUCCAGCGGAAACUGUUCAGCUUGGGACCGGAAGACCUGAGGGGUACGUCUGGGGUAGGAGUGAAAUCCUGUAAUCCUGGACGGACCGCCGGUGGCGAAAGCGCCUCAGGAGAACGGAUCCGACAGUGAGGGACGAAAGCUAGGGUCUCGAACCGGAUUAGAUACCCGGGUAGUCCUAGCUGUAAACGAUGUCCGCUAGGUGGUGGCGCAGGCUACGAGCCUGCGCUGUGCCGUAGGGAAGCCGAGAAGCGGACCGCCUGGGAAGUACGUCUGCAAGGAUGAAACUUAAAGGAAUUGGCGGGGGAGCACUACAACCGGAGGAGCCUGCGGUUUAAUUGGACUCAACGCCGGACAUCUCACCAGCCCCGACAGUAGUAAUGACGGUCAGGUUGAUGACCUUACCCGAGGCUACUGAGAGGAGGUGCAUGGCCGCCGUCAGCUCGUACCGUGAGGCGUCCUGUUAAGUCAGGCAACGAGCGAGACCCGCACUCCUAAUUGCCAGCAGUACCCUUUGGGUAGCUGGGUACAUUAGGUGGACUGCCGCUGCCAAAGCGGANGAAGGAACGGGCAACGGUAGGUCAGUAUGCCC
rnacentral:rRNA from 1 species